UCAUCCAACAUUUUUCACCCUAUAAACUGUAAUGUAAACUUCAAUUUUAGUCAAGUCUUUAUAAAUAUUAAAGUUAAUUUUUCUUUGUUAUUUAUUUUAAGUUAACUUCAUACUUACGGUUACUCUACUUAAAUUAAGAACAGGAACGUUAAUAAUCGUUAUUGAGCGCUUUUUAAAAAAAUAAACAAAUUAUAGAGGGUUACCGUACUGUAGAAUUAAAUUUUCUAAUCCAUAAACGUCACUACACUAAUAGUAAAGACAUUUAUAACCAUAUCAAUUUCUGUUGUUUUACAAUUUUCGUGAAACUACUACUUUCAUACUAAAGUUGAAAUUUGAUGUCUCAUCAUGAGUGACUCAAAUUCGGGUUCAAAGAGGGGAAGGGGAUCAUCGUUUUGGCGUGGAAGGGGAAAUUGGAGAGGAAGAGGAAAUUGGAAAGCGCGAGGAAACUGGAGGGGUAGAGGGAAUGGAGGCUACAACAGACCAAACAACACAAACGACCGAGAACAAGUUAAUGAUGGAAUUCAGUGCUCGCCUGAGGAGUCGUACACAACGCCCACAGAGCUCACCAAACAGAUUGCCAUCGACAGACUGUUCACUCCAAUACCAGGCUGCUACAAAGCAUGGAAGCUGUAUUUUCCUAUGGAAGAGUAUAACACAGCUUCGCCAACAGUUAACAAAAUAAAAUCGUUCGAGAAGUACAUCAAUAAAAACAAAGAUCUGUUCAUCAUUUCUGAAAUUGAGAAAAGGAAAGCCUUCAAUCUAGAUCUGAAAGUUUUGAAAAGAGACGUCGAAUUUAUGGACGACUGGUCAGAUUUCGAAGAGAACUUAUCCAAUCAGCCUGAUCUCUCUCUUAAUUGUCUGUCCCUUGCUAUGCAUCAGUUUGUUUUGACUCAUAUGGAAAAAGAACUUGAAGAAGAGAAUGUGGUAACAGAAAUAAGUCUUCCAAUGAUAAAAGUGAGACUCAUCAAUUACGAGCCAGUGGUGCAGAUGAAGCAUUUGACCGCUAAUACAUACGGUAAACUGGUAGCAAUUGAGGGCACAGUGAUCCGUGUGGGGCAGAUGAAGCUAUUGUGCGCAUGGCUUGCGUUUGGCUGCAAACGGUGUGCGCAUGUGCAGUGCGUGGCGCAGACAGACGGCGCAUGCACCCUCCCCACCUCAUGUCUGCAGGCCACCUGUCAGUCGCGAUCAUUCACGCCGCUCUACUCGUCGCCCUACACGCAGACUGUCAACUGGCAAACUGUCAAGCUCCAGGAGAUACUUGCUGAUGAUCAGAGGGACAGAGGCAGAGUGCCUAGAACAGUUGAGUGUGAACUCAAUGACGAACUGGUUGAUUGCUGCUCCCCUGGUGAUGUUGUUUCAAUCACUGGAAUCGUUAAAAUACGCAGCAGUGAUGAAAGCUCAUAUAGAAAAAGUAAAGCACCAAGUGUCUACCUGAUUUAUAUUGAAGGUAAAUCCGUUUUGAACACGAAGAAUUAUUCAUCUGCACCUAAGCAAAGUAGUGAUGUCGAAUUCACUACAAACGACUACUAUGCAAUUCAGGAGUUGCAAGCGAACGCACAGCUGUUUCGGCUGGCGGUGAACUCGCUGUGUCCUUCGAUCUACGGCCACGAAAUGGUGAAAGCGGGACUGCUGUUGGGCCUGCUGGGGGGUGCAGGGGGCUGCCGGAGGGGGGACUCCCACAUACUCGUGGUCGGUGACCCCGGGCUGGGAAAGUCACAGAUGCUACAGGCUUGCUCCAUGAUAGCUCCCCGAGGAGUUUAUGUGUGCGGCAACACUAGUACGUCAUCUGGACUAACAGUGACCCUGACGCGGGAGGGUGGAGGCAAUUUUGCACUGGAAGCCGGAGCUCUUGUGCUGGCAGACCAAGGCUGCUGUUGCAUUGAUGAGUUCGACAAAAUGUCAUCUCAACAUCAGGCUCUGCUGGAAGCAAUGGAACAGCAAGUGAUCAGCAUCACGAAGGCGGGCAUAAUUUGCACGCUGCCAGCUCGAACAUCCAUCUUGGCAGCAGCCAAUCCGGUUGGCGGCCAUUACAAUCGGGCAAAAACUGUUUCAGAAAACUUACGACUCGGAUCUGCUCUACUGUCCAGAUUUGACCUGGUUUUCAUUCUUCAAGAUCGACCAGAUGAGUACUUGGAUACCCUUCUAUCUGAGCAUGUGAUGUCUCUCUACUCAAAUCUGAAACAUUCGAGUAACGCAGAUGAGACUUCCUCGUUUGUCGGCAGCAUGUCGUGCACUGAACCCGAUGUAUUCAAUCCAAAUGUUCCACUCAGUAAACGGUUAAAACUGUGUCCCGGAGAAGAGAUCAGUCCCAUAUCAGCAGUGCUGCUGAGGAAAUACAUCGCUUAUGCUAAGAAGUACAUUCCUUCUCCUGAGCUGUCGGCGGAGGCGGCAACCGUGCUACAGAAUUUCUACUUGGAGCUGAGGAGACAGCAUCAGACUCUCGAUGCCACGCCCAUCACAACUCGUCAGCUCGAAUCGCUUAUUCGACUAACACAGGCUAGAGCCAAACUGGAGCUACGAGAAAUAGCGACUGCUUUGGAUGCCAUCGAAGUGGUGGAGCUGAUGCGAUGGAGCAUGGUGGACACAUUCACCACCGAUAUUGGCGGUCUCGAUUUCCAGCGAUCCCAGCAUGGCUCUGGAAUGAGCUCGAGGAAUCAAGCCAAACGUUUCAUAAGUGUUCUACAAAGACAAGCGGACCACAAAGGCAGUUCAAUGUUUAGUGUUGAUGAGAUGAAAGACACGGCCGCCACAAACAAUAUUGUAGUCAACGAUUUCUUCGCUUUCCUCUCAUCCUUGAACAAUCAUGGAUUUCUCAUAAAAAAGGGCAAAAAUCAGUAUCAGCUACUGAGCGUGGACUAUUAGUUGGCUGGUUCAGAAUAACACUCGUACUGUUUGGCAGUUUGAAAUCAUGUUGCAGUCGAUGGGAAGUUUGGCAGUUUGCGAAGUUUUUUAUGUUGUUUCAGAAGCAAAUGUAGAAGAUUUUUAAAACUUUCGUGUCACGAAGAGAAUUGGAAAGCAUUCUAGCUAUAAAUUACUAAACUUCAAAAUGGGAAUUUGAAAGAAAGAUCUUUUCAAAAAUGUUGAUAAAAUAAUAAACAAUAUUAUUAUGGUUAGUUUAGUUGAUUAUUAUUUUCCUAAUGUGGAUAAGAAUUUCCCAAAUCUAUACUUACUCAAUCAUGUGUCAAGUAAUACUGAUAGUAAUACCUUCAAGCUAUAUUCCUGUAUUCUGUGAUCAAUAAAAAUGUAUCAAUAAAACAAGGAAAUCCAACUAGCAGUUUAUUAUUUCUCUUUUUUAUUUAUUUUUCGAAUAUAAUAUAUCUUGUAUUCUUCGUUGUGGUCAAAUGGAUGCAAGGCAUUUUAAUUAAUUUGUUGUCUCUGUGCAUAAGAUUCAAUUCCUGUCAAUGUUAUUUUUGUAAGUCAUGGAAACAAAAAACAAAGGAAAAGAAAAGGCAGCCUUCAAAAAGUAAGCAAUGCUUGAACGGAACCAUGGAUAUCAAUUAAAAAAUUCAGAAUGAGUUAAAAUUUGUACUGUUCAAAUUUCAGCAAGAAAAACAUGAUCAAUCGAUAUUUUUACAAAGUAUUAUACUCCCUUCCAGCUCCUCCCCCAUUCAAUCAAAUGAUAGAUAUCAUAUUUCUGGUUAGAAUAAAUAUGGCAGUCACACAACACUUGCAAAAUACUCAUGUAAA
rnacentral:misc_RNA from 1 species